UUUAGCUUUUGUUUGAGAGGUUUCUCUCUUCCUGGUCAAGAAGCCACAUGACCCGAAUGUAACUAGGACGGUGUUGUUGAGCACUUGCUUGUGGACCCCUCUGGGGUCUGCAGAUGACUGGCAGGAUGCUGGAGCCUGCAGGUUUUGCUAGUUUCCUACUUGCAUGGAUCCUUUCUUGCCCCAGCUCUGGAUAGGUUCCCAGGCUUCAUUAGAAUUCAUGGACGGUUAUCUGCAAAGACUUCUGGACAAGAAGCACAGAAAAAUGGAUCUGUGGCAGUCAUGGUUCCUGGACUUCUAGAAAUGACUAUAUUCCAGGAGAUGCAGAAAUGCUACUGAACAUGGAUGUGCAGCACCACAGAAAACCUAUGUGGGAUCCUGAUCACCAGUGGAAGCCCGGCUCCUUAGAGAGCUAAGAUGGAACAAAGAAAAUUCCCAGGCCCGGGAACCACCAGAGGUACUACCUUAUUUGCU
rnacentral:lncRNA from 1 species